GAGCACGAUAGAAGGGACUACCGCGGUAGGGGAGUCGCGCGCCGUUAACGCCGCCUGGUGGGGUUAACGUCAGGGGCGUGAGCGAAGAAGGGGCGUCCCAGCAAGAGGGACAGGGAGAAGAAGAUAGAGAGUGAAAAAGAGAAAGAGAGUUCCUCUUAGCCUGGUCGUCUACACACCACCUCCGGCGGGUACGUUCAGCUCCACGCGACUUCACGAGUGAAACAUUUCGCGGGUUUCGCGGGGAGCUUUUCCGCAAGACUCGCUGGGUGGGAGGCUCAAGGUGGCGGAGGAGAGAAGGAAGGACAACGGUAUUCCCGUUAAUUGAACGACUCUCUCGCGUGGGGAAGGAGGUAUCUGGAAGGGAGACGCGACACUCUUCUCUACUCUGGAUCGAGAAGAGGGAGAAGGAUUACUUGCAGACCUAACCACCAGUUCGACCAGUUACCGCGGUUCAACUUUGCUGUUUUUCUUAACCAGUAGAUGCGACUUUAGAUAAGAGUUUUGACAAGUGCGCCUGCGACCGUCUAUGGGGUGCCGACUGAACGACGAGCCAUGCCUUCAGGAACUCAGGGAGAGGCACGUACGAGUGAGUGGACAUGACAUCCGCCUACGCUAAGCUACCACCAUCUAAGGUGCGUUUAUUUUGGCGACCUUUACGACACGAGUUUACGAUCGGCUGAACGCAUUCUGUUGAACUUCGUAAUGAUUUUCGGAAGUUUGCGGAAAAAACAUCGAGGAAGAGAAAAAAAGAUUUUUAGACCGUUCAACUCUAUCUCAAAAGGGUUGGUUCCAUCCAGGAGAGACAAUAAAAUUCGUUAAAUUAUUAGCCGUUAUCUUGGACGGGACUAGACAGCAGAAAUAAGAAAGUGAUUCUUUUGAAAAAUGAAAUAGUAUUAAAAAAAAAAAAAAAAAAUGAAAGAAAAAGGAACAACACAACACAACAACGUUCGACGAACGUAGAGAGAAAUGACCUAAUGGUGAAAGAGUAGGAGGGAGGAGAGAAGAAGAGAAAGAAGUGAGUGAAGAAGGUAGAGGGGGUUGAAGAGGGACGCGAAAAGAACGACGCGUAUCGUAGUUCAUGGAGAAAGGAACGAAAAUGUUAAGAAAAGGCAAAGGUUCAACAGGGAUAAGUCCAACAGGAAUAUUGAAAGCCGGUCCUUCGAACGAGGCCAGCGAUCAAGAGAGCCAAUUAUCUCAAAGACCCACCACACCACUACUCCUCGUUCCAACCCUCACCCACCCCCUUUCUCUCUCUCUCUCUCUCUCUCUCUUUUCUUCUUCGCCCCCACAUACGCGUACUCACGUUGAACAUAUUUUUCCUACGUACCUUAUGCGAAUACUCAAAGUACACUCAAGCUACCGAAGUACUCACAUACUCGAAUAGUAUAUUCGAACGCGCGUUCGUUCGUUCGUUCGUUCGUUCGUUCGUUCGUUCGUUCCAUUUCGUUUCGUUUCGUUCGUUUAUUCGAAGAGCACCGUAUACAUAAUACCUACGUACGUAGAUAGAUACGUGGAGGUACAUUAUGCGAAUCGAGCCUCAUAGAUCGUUGCCGUUCUAAUAAAGCUAAGGGUACUUUCUCGCGACUACCCCCUCGCUUCUCCCUCUAUCCUAUUUCUCAAUCUCUUUUUCUCUCCUUCUUUUCUCCUGCUAACAUUUACCUUGUCAACAUUUUUAUUAAAAAAAUAUCGUUAACUUUUUGCACGUCAAGUUUACAUAUAUAAAUAUAUACACAUACGUAUAAGAUAUCUCUGUCUAUUCAAGUAUAAAUUAUUUUCUUAUUUUUGUCGACAAUUUCGAAUCGAAUAGUUCAUUGCUUUAAAUGUAUAUGUGUAUGUUUUAUUUGGGGGUUGUUUCUUAUUAAGAAUACAAUUUCACAAUGGUAGUUUCGAUAUUGAGUUAACGAUUAAUGAAAAAUAACAACGUUGGCGUACCUGUUAUCGUUCUUUGAUAAAUUUAAAAAAAGAAAGGAAAAAAAUACUCUUAGCGAGAAAAACGAAGGACUUUGUGGUGUAGUCCAAGUUAGAUUAUAUGGACCGACGGAGCAAUCUUAUGGAAUGGAGCUACUGAAAUCUUAAUUCGAGUCGGCGCGCUGUGCCAUUGGAUACGUCGACUGGGGGUGGCGCCUUUCAAAAGCGACGCUUACAAGCACGUUACACACACGGUUAGGUAAUUAUAUUUACCUUUUCAGCUUUAUUAUUUAUGUCUGCUGCAAAGGGGUAGAGCCUUAUGGUUCCUCUCUCCUUCCUUCCCCCUCUAACCCCUUCAUCCUCUUUCUUUCUUUCUUUCUUUCCUUUCUUUUCUUUUCUUUUCUUUUCUAUGUUGCACUCGAGGACGAAAAAUCAAAUUACAUAAUCCUUUCCUUUAAUAGUCAGAAGGCUUAUAUUAUUUUUUGAAUGAAAUAACGUUGAGUAAUUCAAAAUAAUCUCUUAACUAUUUCGAAAAUAAUUUUUACUUUACACAGAUUCAUUUUGGAAAAUGUACUUAUUCGAAAAGUUUGUAUGUAACCUCAACAUCGAGUAAACAACUGCAGAUUUUAAUAUGUAUUCAAAUGAGUUUCUAGAUACGCAGAAACCAUGUUGGAAAAAUUACAAGGAAAACUUUUAGCAAGCAGUAUCGAUGUGUAAAAAAAUGUUUGUUUGUUUUUGUUUGAAAAGAUACAAAGACAAAUUAGAUCACGAACGAAGUUGGAACUAUAAUGACAACGAAAAAUGGUUUGAGGUAAUUGAAUAGGACAGCUAUGAAAGAGAACAGGAGGAAAGCAAAAAACUAACUUCGUGUUACGCAAGAUAAAAUUUGAAGAUCCACUUGAAGGCGAGAUGAUCAAGUUGAACCUUGUAGUAGAAUUGCAUAGGAUCAUUUAAGAGUGUGGGAAAGGGUUGGAUAGUGUGGGAAGGUUAAACGAGAACGAGUUAGAGACGGGAUACGAUUCUGCUUGUCUCUGGGACGGAAGUGACGUCGCAGUCACCAGCGGAAAUUCGUACUGGAAAUUCCGAUGGGUUCGAGAGGUUGUGGGAGAAAGAUAGGAAAAUGGGGUGGUAGUCCUUGUUAGACCAAACAGUUACCCAGAGAUUUGAGUAGACCAAGUACCAUUCUUGCUCGAGUUUCCUCGCAAUCCUUGGGAUUGUUUGAAUAAGAUGCCAAUUGAACUUGUCGAAGACAUCGCUGGACCAAGGUUAAACGGACAUUCAGUAUCACGAGGCAAACACAACCUGUAUUGAAUCAUCGAUAGAUGGAUUAAACUAAUUUGAACAUUACAAACGAACUUUGACAUGGUCUUGUUUAAAGUUACGUUAUUCAAGGCGCUAUACUCCAAUUAUAUGUACGGAUAGUACACCGAAGUACUUUGAUCAUAGUCAUUCUCCGUGUUUAUCAUAAAGAUACUUGGAUGCAUUGGUGACGAUCUUGGUGGAUCUUCCCUUUAUUAUUUCUUGUAUUUAUUUAGAAAUCAUUUAUGGUUGAAAAAAAGAGAACACGUUAGAGAAACUGUGGAUAUAUCCGCGAGGUAGAACUUAUACAAGAGUGGAGGAGAAGUUUACGAUUAACUUUCUCGUUUAUCGUACAUCCAAUUUUUUUACCCAUGCAAAAUGAUGAUAUAUUCUUCGUUAGGCACUACGAGUCUACUCUUUCGUCUUUUCUUACUGCAGUUAAUACUCAUUCUACCUUCGUCCUUACCGAAGAGGUAAGUUUCCAUGCGGGUUAGGCGAGUAAUAUGAGCUGCCACUCAAGAGAAGGGCGCCCUGUAUUACUGGCCGAAUAAUUAUGGCAAAGCCCCCUUUGCACGAACAUUGCCCAGCACCUUAGAGCAACCUCGACGAAUACAUUGUAAGGUUAUGACUUUGAAUUGUUCGAAGAAUAGGAAGACGAACAAGAAGAAGAAAAAGAAGAAGAAAAAAAGACAGACAUACUAUUUCGUUUCUGUCACGUGGCUGAACGAGUAAUUAAGUUCUUAUGCAUCUCAUAUUUCUUACAAUAUAAUUUUAUUUAAAAAUAUUGAUUUAAAUCAUAAAGAUGAAUACUAUAUAUAUCUUCAAUCCAUUAUUGUACAUUUCGAUCGAAUAUCGGUUAACAAAACAAAACGAAACGAAACGAAAUGAAAAAAAAAGAAAAGAGAAUAACAAAAAUGUCGAGUUUACAGGUUACUUUAUGAUAGUUAUUCAGAAAGCAAUAACUAUUUCAAAACCACCGAGAGCCGCCUUUUUCUCUUUUACAUUUUUUUCUCUCUCUCUCUUUUUUUUUUUUAACGAACAGUAUCGAUAGAUAUCUCCAUACAUGGGAAUGAAAAAAAUCAUAGGAUGACCAUUGUGGAUGGGCCCUUAGCGCGUUUCGCGCUAACGCAAACGGUUUUGUUACUUUUGUACGAUCCAUACCGCGUGAUACGUUUUGUCACCGAUCGGCAUACCCUUUUAUCCCUUUCUUUCGUACACUAAACAACCCUGCCUAUUUUCAUCUCUCUCUCUCUCUCUUUCUCUCUUUCUCUCAUUCUCCCUUUUAUCCUCACAUAUAAGCUUCGUUAAAACGCACGCUAGCUAGCGACAUAGCAAGCUAGCGAAUCUCGUUUCGGAGUCGCGCGCGUUGCACGAUUACGAGCCGCGAAACGCAUUUUUCGGAUCUAUCAGACUAUAACCGUGACUCUUUCUCUCUCUCUCUCUCUCUCUCUCUCUCUCUCUCUCUCUCACACUCCUAUCACACGUUCGUUUUGUAUUUCCGCUCUCCGACGGGGUAGCCACCACCUUCCUUGUCAUCGUUCCGACAACCCCCUUCCCUCUUCACCCCCCCCAGUAUAGUUUCCACGCGUCUCUACCACUUCCUCCUCCUCCUCCUCCUCCUCCUCCACCACCACCUCCUCUUGUGUCUCCUACAUCUCUUUAUCACCCACGAUAUUCACAGUAACCCCGCACGAACGUCGUUACGAGAGCAAGAGAAUAUGAGAGAGAAUGAGUGUGAGAGAGAAUGAGAGAGAGAGAGAGAGAGAGAGAGAGAGAGGGUGAUAGCGUAGAUGGUACCUGCACGAGGUAGCUCAGCUCUUUGUUUCGUCGUGUCCGCCAUUGUAACCGCUUCCCGUUUGCCAGACUAUCGCGAUAAACAGCCGGAAAACCCACGAUGAAUGACGCGACCACGCUGCAACAGUGUCGUGUGUAGUACUCUCUUUCUCUCUCUCUCUCUCUCUCUCUCUCUCUCUUUCUAGUUCUGUAUAUCUAUUAAUCUCUAUCUUUCUUUAUUUCUUUCUCUUUUUGAUUCUUUUUUAAACUUUAUUUCGUUGGUUAUACAAAAUUGUCCAUAAUUCACGGUAUAAAUGUAAAAAAAAAAAAUGUUCACGUUAAGAUAUAUGAAAUUGUUCGAUGUACGAUUUGAUAAUAUU